rnacentral:rRNA from 1 species
AUGCCUACGGGCCAAAGAGGGGGACCUUCGGGCCUCUCGCGUCAAGAUAUGCCUAGGUGGGAUUAGCUAGUUGGUGAGGUAAUGGCUCACCAAGGCGACGAUCCCUAGCUGGUCUGAGAGGAUGAUCAGCCACACUGGAACUGAGACACGGUCCAGACUCCUACGGGAGGCAGCAGUGGGGAAUAUUGCACAAUGGGCGAAAGCCUGAUGCAGCCAUGCCGCGUGUAUGAAGAAGGCCUUCGGGUUGUAAAGUACUUUCAGUUGUGAGGAAGGGUGUGUAGUUAAUAGCUGCGCAUCUUGACGUUAGCAACAGAAGAAGCACCGGCUAACUCCGUGCCAGCAGCCGCGGUAAUACGGAGGGUGCGAGCGUUAAUCGGAAUUACUGGGCGUAAAGCGCAUGCAGGUGGUUCAUUAAGUCAGAUGUGAAAGCCCGGGGCUCAACCUCGGAACUGCAUUUGAAACUGGUGAACUAGAGUACUGUAGAGGGGGGUAGAAUUUCAGGUGUAGCGGUGAAAUGCGUAGAGAUCUGAAGGAAUACCAGUGGCGAAGGCGGCCCCCUGGACAGAUACUGACACUCAGAUGCGAAAGCGUGGGGAGCAAACAGGAUUAGAUA